CUGCACUAGUUGUUCCCAGGUGGUCACCCUCUCAAGUACUGACCGCGCCCAAUGCUGCUCAACUGCGGUGAUCAGACGAGAAUUGGUGCUUUCAGUAUGAUAUAUCCG